AUCUUCAUGCUCGUAGAUGUGAGCCUGAGCCUGAGGCAGCUGUGGAUGAGUGGGAAGGGUGUUGCCAUAUUUAUGUCUGGUGCCUUCCUUGCAUGACAAUAAACACACACUCCCAUUUUCUAGCCAUCUUUUUCCGCUUGUCUUGCUAUCAUGGAGUAAAGUCACCAUAAGCAUCAACUUUCAGGAAAACUCUUAUUUAUGCAAAAGAUAUUUUAUUCCCAUAAAAGCCAAACCAAAAAAAGUAAUUAUAUAAAAGUCAAAGCACAGUAAAAUCUCUAAAUCCAUGGAUCCAUGGCCCGAUUUCACAGCUCUCACCAGGGACCGACUAGGGCCCCACUAGGUCCAGAUUCAUUUCUCUUUCCCGUUUCAUCCUGUUACUGCUUUUAAUCGCUUAUCUCCAAGCUCCGUCCCAGAGUAUAACAGUUAAGGUGACAAUCUGUCUGCCACCUUGUGGUUAGAAACAUAAGUGUUGUCCCUUAGGUUCCUUGAAUCUAGAGAAUUUGGAAAAGUUUACACUUGACUAUCAGGGUAAUAAAAACCAUAAAGCUUAUAAUUAAUGGCAAGAACAGAUGUCAUGUAUUAGACACUACAAGCCAAGCAAAACGUGAAGCUCUCUAUAUGGAGUAAUGCAUCUAUUUCUCAAAACAGCUUUACAAGACAGACACUGUUACCUCCAUUUCCUGGUGAAGCAACUGAAGCUCAGACAAGUUAAGAAGAGUGUUUAGAGUCAGGGAAAAUGAGCGGGCAAGGCCCUCAAGUGUGUCUACCUCUGGAGCUGAGCUCUUGGUGUAGCCAUUGCACCAUCCUGUUUCUCAGUCUCUCUCAUCCCAAUCCAAUUUCAUCCAAUGCUCAAAUAUGUCUACCAUGCCACUGUCAAUGGACCAUCUGCCCUUCCUGUGAAGGGGAACUUACUACCGCUGAGGCACUCCAUUCCAUAGUAACUUAGUUCUGCAACUGUUAUACCAACAAAUUUAAAAUCACAUCAUUGCUUUUACAUUUUUUUAAAAAGGAUAUCAUGCCCCUUUGCCCCUUGAUCCCUCCCCACCCCGACAAAGCAAUCCUAGUCCGUGAACAGUCUCUAAAUGACAGGGUUUUGCAUCUUUCUAUCACCCUGGUUUCUCUCCUUUGAACAGGCCCCAGGUCAUCCCUACUCCCUCUUAAAAUGUAGAGUUUGGAACCCACAGCACAGGUGGAGCAAUAGUAUUACCUUCGUCUUUCUAGUUCUUAUUCUUCUAGUGCUGCCUAAAUUUUGUUUAGUUUUCACAUUAUUGGGUUAUUACCUUGGGAAGUGCAUUUUAAUCUAUAUAUGAUUAAAUAAGAUAGAUUUAGAAAUAACAGCUGAAUACAUAGAGCUUCAAGAAACAUUUGUUAAAUUCUUUGAUAUUCACUUUAUCUUAUUUCAGAGUAAUUAAUUGCCUCAAUGUCUAUUUGCACUUAAGCUUGCUGAUGAAUUUACUCCUUGACCUCAUAGUCCAAAUUUGGCCAAGGAUUUUUGCUGGCCCUUUUUUUUUUAAAGCCCUUUCCAUAGAGGAAAAAUAAGCAAACAGACCCUGCUGUGACGCGCAUGGCCGAGCUGUGUCCUGGCGGAAGAGGAUGCAUCCUGUGCUCAUUCCUCUCCUGAUUCAUCGCCAGGCUGCAUAUUUGACCACAGAAGACACUGAGGAACUCUGCCCACUCCAAGUUUAGCCUUGAUCUUGGACUCCUCUAAAAGAGCAUGAGAAGGAAGCUUUUAUAGCAUGAAUGAAGAAGCAAGGCAAAUAAAAUAUUUGAUUGGUUGCAGUGGAGCAGUAGCCUUAUUUGGAUCAUUCCAAUGGAAAGUCCAUUGUCAGAGGAAUAAAAGCACUCCUAAUGGAACUGGAGCACAGAGGGUGAAUAGAGCUUAUAGCUUCCAUAUAGGCCAGCUGUGGGAUCUCAACAUCACAUCUCUGAGGCUGAACCCAGUGGAAAGCUCUGAUGAAGACUGAGAAGAUGCUCUUCUCUUCUCUCAUUAUGUGGCCCUUGAUCAAGCCUCGUGCUGUAGCUACCCCCAACCCCAGAAGGUUAGGACCACCUGCCUGCCAACCACAGCCUUGCCUAAUUUCUGCUCAACCUUGUGGCUCAAUCAUCCUAUCAAGAGAAGCCAUUUACAAUCCUCCAUAGAAAUAUUUUCCU